UACGGGGGGGGCAAGCGUUGUUCGGAAUUACUGGGCGUAAAGGGCUCGUAGGCGGCCAACUAAGUCAGACGUGAAAUCCCUCGGCUUAACCGGGGAACUGCGUCUGAUACUGGAUGGCUGGAGUUUGGGAGAGGGAUGCGGAAUUCCAGGUGUAGCGGUGAAAUGCGUAGAUAUCUGGAGGAACACCGGUGGCGAAGGCGGCAUCCUGGACCAACACUGACGCUGAUGAGCGAAAGCCAGGGGAGCAAACGGG
rnacentral:rRNA from 1 species